AAAAGGAAGUUUGAUUAGUUUCUAUUUGUAAUUGCUCCUCUUUGUGUCUGACUCAGAUUUGUUGUAACGUUAGGAACUUUGAGGAUCUGAAAUGUCUAUGACAGUCAUAGAAACUAAUAGUUAUUUUAUGUUAGUCUGUCUUCGAAGACUGUGAGAAAAGGUGACUUCGAUGCAAAAAUGAGCAAAAUACAGAUGUGGGAAAUGGUUACAAAUGGCUCUGACUGAGGCAUGCCUGACCCUUUCAGAAUCAAAAGGGUUUCUGUGUACUGGAUGCUCCUGUCACCAAAACAAAUUCCUUGUAUGUGCAAACCUACUUGGCAAUAAAGCUCUUUCUGAU